GACGAACGCUGGCGGCGUGCUUAACACAUGCAAGUCGAACGGAAAGGCCCUGCUUUUGUGGGGUGCUCGAGUGGCGAACUGGUGAGUUACACGUGUGUAUCCUGCCCUUGACUUUGGGAUAUCUUCAGGAAACUUGUGCUAAUACCGGAUAGGAGCUCCUGCUGCAUGGUGGGGGUUGGAAAGUUUCGGCGGUUGGGGAUGGACUCGCGGCUUAUCAGCUUGUUUGUGGGGUAGUGGCUUACCAAGUCUUUGACGGGUAGCCGGGAUGAGAGGGUGACCGGCGAAAUUGGGACUGAGAGACGGCACAGACGCCAACGGGAGGCAGCAGUGGGGAAUAUUGCAAAAUGGGAGGAAGCCUGAGGAAGCAACGCCGGGAGCGGGAUGACGGCCAUGGGGGAGUAAAGCGAAGUCGCCUGAGACGAAGCGAGAGUGACGGUAAUGGGUAAAGAAGCACCGGCUAACUACGUG
rnacentral:rRNA from 1 species